rnacentral:misc_RNA from 1 species
GAAUGUGGAUCUGAAUGCUUCUGGAAAGAUUGGCCUAAAAAGUAAUUGUGGAAGUUCCUGAGCACAUGCACUAAUACUGUUACUUGUAAUAAUUCUUUAGAUGCUGUUAAAAAUCAAGUUGAGGGCAUUUCAGGCAAAACUUUUUGUUAGAUUAUUACUGAAACUAGAAUUUUUCAAAUUGUUCUAUUUCUACGAUACAUCAAUUCUUUUUUCCCCUUUU